rnacentral:rRNA from 1 species
UACGUAGGGUGCGAGCGUUAAUCGGAAUUACUGGGCGUAAAGCGUGCGUAGGUGGUUCGUUGUGUCUGUGGUGAAAGCCCCGGGCUUAACCUGGGAAUGGCCAUGGAAACUGGCGAGCUGGAGUCUGGCAGAGGGGGGUGGAAUUCCGCGUGUAGCAGUGAAAUGCGUAGAGAUCGGAAAGAACACCAACGGCGAAAGCACUCUGCUGGGCCGACACUGACACUGAGAGACGAAAGCUAGGGGAGCGAAUGGG